rnacentral:rRNA from 1 species
UGGGGAAUUUUGGACAAUGGGCGAAAGCCUGAUCCAGCAAUGCCGCGUGUGUGAAGAAGGCCUUCGGGUUGUAAAGCACUUUUGUCCGGAAAGAAAUCCUUGGCUCUAAUACAGUCGGGGGAUGACGGUACCGGAAGAAUAAGCACCGGCUAACUACGUGCCAGCAGCCGCGGUAAUACGUAGGGUGCAAGCGUUAAUCGGAAUUACUGGGCGUAAAGCGUGCGCAGGCGGUUUGCUAAGACCGAUGUGAAAUCCCCGGGCUCAACCUGGGAACUGCAUUGGUGACCGGCAGGCUAGAGUAUGGCAGAGGGGGGUAGAAUUCCACGUGUAGCAGUGAAAUGCGUAGAGAUGUGGAGGAAUACCGAUGGCGAAGGCAGCCCCUGGGCCAAUACUGACGCUCAUGCACGAAAGCGUGGGGAGCAAACAGGAUUAGAUACCCUGGUAGUCCACGCCCUAAACGAUGUNAACUAGUUGUGGGGAUUCAUUUCCUUAGUAACGUAGCUAACGCGUGAAGUUGACCGCCUGGGGAGUA